AGGGAGCAUUGGAUUUGGCCUCAAAAUUUCUGCCCUCAGAGAUUCUGGGUUUUCAACAGUGCUUCUCCUGAGAUGGUACACAUAACUACUAGUGUGUAGUGUCCAAUACCCACACUGAUGCCAUCUACACGGUAUCCUUGAUGAUGAGUAAAGGUGGGGUCCUAACUCCUGACAGAACUGAAAACCACUGAAAGUGACUGAAAGACAGCAGUGUUUGAAAUCCGCCUGCCAAAGAAAGUGCAAAACUUUACCUAGAUGGGAAAGAGUUGAAGUGGGACGAUAAGUAUGAAAUUGUCACAUCUGAUGAUGGAUUGGCCCAGACUGUGAAAACUAAGGAUGUUCAGUC